AGUGAACGCUGGCGGUAGGCCUAACACAUGCAAGUCGAACGGCAGCACAGUAAGAGCUUGCUCUUACGGGUGGCGAGUGGCGGACGGUUGAGGAAUACAUCGGAAUCUACUUUUUCGUGGGGGAUAACGUAGGGAAACUUACGCUAAUACCGCAUACGAUCUACGGGUGAAAGCAGGGGAUCUUCGGACCUUGCGCGAUUGAAUAAGCCGAUGUCGGAUUAGCUAGUUGGCGGGGUAAAGGCCCACCAAGGCGACGAUCCGUAGCUGGUCUGAGAGGAUGAUCAGCCACACUGGAACUGAGACACGGUCCAGACUCCUACGGGAGGCAGCAGUGGGGAAUAUUGGACAAUGGGCGCAAGCCUGAUCCAGCCAUACCGCGUGGGUGAAGAAGGCCUUCGGGUUGUAAAGCCCUUUUGUUGGGAAAGAAAAGCAGCAGGUUAAUACCCCGCUGUUCUGACGGUACCCAAAGAAUAAGCACCGGCUAACUUCGUG
rnacentral:rRNA from 1 species